GAUGAACGCUGGCGGCGUGCCUAAUACAUGCAAGUCGAGCGAACAGACGAGGAGCUUGCUCCUCUGACGUUAGCGGCGGACGGGUGAGUAACACGUGGAUAACCUACCUAUAAGACUGGGAUAACUUCGGGAAACCGGAGCUAAUACCGGAUAACAUGUUGAACCGCAUGGUUCAACAGUGAAAGACGGUCUUGCUGUCACUUAUAGAUGGAUCCGCGCCGCAUUAGCUAGUUGGUAAGGUAGCGGCUUACCAAGGCAACGAUGCGUAGCCGACCUGAGAGGGUGAUCGGCCACACUGGAACUGAGACACGGUCCAGACUCCUACGGGAGGCAGCAGUAGGGAAUCUUCCGCAAUGGGCGAAAGCCUGACGGAGCAACGCCGCGUGAGUGAAGAAGGUCUUCGGAUCGUAAAACUCUGUUAUUAGGGAAGAACAAAUGUGUAAGUAACUAUGCACGUCUUGACGGUACCUAAUCAGAAAGCCACGGCUAACUACGUG
rnacentral:rRNA from 1 species